UUCUCAGCUGCACAGAGCUGCUGAAAUAACGUGAUAAACAUAUAUCAGGGCCGCUAAUUACAUUUAAUAACACCAUUGACAAAUAGCAACAAUGUGUCAAGAGAGUUCCGCACAAAAGCGGUGAAAGGAAGAGAGUCUUUAAUUCUGAUUCAUUCUGAUCAACAGAUUCAUUAAAUGCUCCCCGUCCAGCAGCCUCCGGUACUCAGCGAUCUCCAGCUCCAGCCUCAUCUUGAUGUCCAGCAGCAUCUGGUACUCGACCUGCUGCUGCUCGAUGGACACUCGCAGCUGCUGCAGCUCGAUCUCCAUCGUGUUGAUGGUCAUCUGCAGCUGGCUGAGCUGAACGCUGUAUCGACUGUUCACUUCUUCCAUAUUCUUCUGCAGACACUGGAUCUGCAGGGCAAACGGGAAGGAUGUUAGGAAAGCUGUGAAGUGUGAUCCGAGUAAAGAAUUGCCCCAACUUGAAGUGAUGAAGUGACAGUUUCAUUUGGUAUCUGCACAUUACUCAUUUAAAGCACUGCCCAAUCAAAUGCAUACGCAUGUUGUAACAUUCUGUUGGUGAGUAUUACAAUCCAUUGUGCAGUGUUUGGGAGUGUGAUGAGCCUUUAAACACGUAAUCUGUCACUCCAACUGGACUCCCUGGAUCAUAUGUUAUUGUUGGUACAUUUUCAACAGCGUGUCACCACCAACACAACACAAAGACUUUGUUUUUCAAGUCUCAAGUCCUAAACUUUGAGUUUCGAGUCCUAAACAAGUCAUAAUGCGCUUUGCACCAAUUUCAACCCGCACGUUUUUGUAUACUGCAAUUCCUUUUUUUGUUAACGACCGCAUUUCUGUACGUAAACAAAGUUUUGGAUGCUUUCAGCUCAAACAAAGUGGAUUUAGGGAAUUUAGUGUCGACUGUGAAUGAAUAGAGUUAACGUUAGCUCAUUCAGGAAAUAAAAGGAUAUUAAUUCGUCAGUGGAACACUUUUUAAAUAACACUUUGGGCCUGGUGGAAGGCAUCAAGUAUUUUCACGUCCAAGUGAAGUCACGAGUAAUUUUGUCAAGUAGUCUACAUUUGUGACUUGAGUCUGAUUCGACUCCAAGUCAUGUGACUUGAGACCACCCCUCUGAUCUAACACAGGACUGUCUGAAUCCCCACUACGCCAGCAUUUAACUCUCUUCAGAUCAACUUUGGUAAAUAGUUUUGCACAGUCACUUUAGUGUAAGUGCACUCGCAAAGCAUCUUGUAAAGCCCAUUAUGAACAGGAGGAAUAAUUACAGCAAGUAGAAAUGGCACCAUGUACAUAUGGGCAUGUGAGCGUUCUUUUAAGACAGACUUGAAAAGAAUGUGAACCUGCCCUUUAAUGUAAGAAUGAUCAGCUAACCCUGCACAGUGAAAGUGUCAGUUCAGCGAUGGCCUACCUCUGCCUGCACGCUGUCCCGACUGAUCUCCAAACUCUGUUUGGAACCAUUUCUCGAGCUCCUGAUUGUUCUUCACCACCACGGACUCAUACUGCUCCCUCAUCUCCUGCAGCACCAGCUCCAUAUUCACAGACUGUGGACUGUCCACCUCCACAUUAAUGUCGCCAGUCUGCUGGAUCCUCAUCCGAUGCAACUCCUGCAACAUGGACACAUUUUUACCUCCUGCCCUUCUACAGACUUUCUAUCUGCAACUCCAUGUCACUGAUGCCGAGGGUCAGGUUGUCCCGGACCCCUCGGAGACGCAUCACGUCGGACUCCACCAUCAUAUGAAGGUUCAGCUCCAUCUCAUACCUGCAGAAGG